rnacentral:rRNA from 1 species
UACGUAGGAUGCAAGCGUUAAUCGGAAUUACUGGGCGUAAAGCGUGCGCAGGCGGUUCGGAAAGAAAGAUGUGAAAUCCCAGAGCUUAACUUUGGAACUGCAUUUUUAACUACCGGGCUAGAGUGUGUCAGAGGGAGGUGGAAUUCCGCGUGUAGCAGUGAAAUGCGUAGAUAUGCGGAGGAACACCGAUGGCGAAGGCAGCCUCCUGGGAUAACACUGACGCUCAUGCACGAAAGCGUGGGGAGCAAACAGG